CGUGUUGUGAAAUGUUGGGUUAAGUCCCGCAACGAGCGCAACCCCUAUCCUUAUUUGCCAGCGCGUUAUGGCGGGAACUCUAAGGAGACUGCCGGUGAUAAACCGGAGGAUGGUGGGGACGACGUCAAGUCAUCAUGGCCCUUACGGGAUGGGCUACACACGUGCUACAAUGGCAGGUACAGAGGGCAGCAAUACCGCGAGGUGGAGCGAAUCCCACAAAGCUUGUCGUAGUCCGGAUUGGAGUCUGCAACUCGACUCCAUGAAGUCGGAAUCGCUAGUAAUCGUAGAUCAGAAUGCUACGGUGAAUACGUUCCCGGGCCUUGUACACACC
rnacentral:rRNA from 1 species